rnacentral:lncRNA from 1 species
GGGGCUUUUGGUGUGUGAUGCGUGUCUGGUGCGUGUGGCUCUGCCUCACCCUCACUGUGCUAACGGGACCGAUGUGCGGCUCGGUUCAGCCCUUUAAAUGAAUCAGUUGUUGGGGAGUGAUGCGCUAAUUCGUCCUCACCCCGCGUGGUGUGCAGGAGGUUGGUGUCACCGGUGAUAACCGUGCCUGCCGCCCCCCGGGCUGGGCGAGGCGAGGGGCCGGGUGCUGUCCUGUUUCCCCAAGUUGCUGUUCCCGGCUUGUUGGGCCGUUACCAUGGAGAAUCAGCAGCCAGGGGAAGGGGGGGGGGGGGGGGGGCCCCUCGGCAGUGCCGGCUGCGGUCACCCCGGGCUCCCUCUCCGCGAUCGCCGGGUCCCGGAGCGGGGCCGGGGGCUGUCGGGGAGCGGUCCCGGCGGGGCAGGGCCCGGGGGCGGCCGCAGCCCGGUGUGUGCACGCCCUCCAGAGCACGGGGAAGGGCGCAGCAGCGCCUUUGUCCUCGGCCGGCCGAGCCCAGACAAAAGGCUCCCUCCUGCUCCGCGUGGCAGCGGGCAGGGCUGCCCCGGGCUGCUCGCCUGGGAAAUGAGGGGACUGCGAAGGGAACCCCCCCGGCAUCGCCCCCCGUGUGCUGUGGGGCGCUGGGUGCUGCUGGUCCCCCCCCCACGUCUCGGCUGUGUCCCCACAGGCAGGGCUGGCGGUCCCACUGCGGGCUCUGGGAGGUCCCCGGGCAGGGGGCUGUUAUUGCCGCCCCCCCCGCUCCCCGUUAGGUGGCAGCUGAGGCCCCCCUCGUGGCUCCAGGCUCCGUGCGUGCUCGCUGUGCUCCUGGGCAGGACACAAAAAGGCUUUCUCCAGCGCAGGACACCGCAGUGGCUGCUUUCCUUUAUCCUUGAAAUUCACGCAGCAGGACCGCCGAGGCGCUCGGACUUGCAGCUCCCAUGGAUGCCUUUUGGCCCACCCAGAGCAUGGUGCGGGAUGUGCGGGAGGAUGGAGGAGGUCGGGAGCACCGGGAGAUGCUCGGGCUGGGGCUGCUGCAGCAGCAGAGCCCCCUCUAACCUGGGGGAGCCGUGUUUUUGGACACAGGCACUGACAAAGGACCAGGAAACACAUAUGGCCCUGCACAGCCCAUCAGCGCGGCGGAGGGAGCUGACAGCCCCGCUGCCCCCGUGA